rnacentral:rRNA from 1 species
UCAGAUUGAACGCUGGCGGCGUGCUUAACACAUGCAAGUCGAACGCGAAAGGGACUUCGGUCCUGAGUAAAGUGGCGCACGGGUGAGUAACGCGUGGAUAAUCUGCCCUUAUGAUCGGGAUAACAGUUGGAAACGGCUGCUAAUACCGGAUACGCUCAAAAUGAACUUUUUUGGGGAAAGAUGGCCUCUGCUUGCAUGCUAUCACGUAAGGAUGAGUCCGCGUCCCAUUAGCUUGUUGGCGGGGUAACGGCCCACCAAGGCAACGAUGGGUAGCCGAUUUGAGAGGAUGAUCGGCCACACUGGAACUGAAACACGGUCCAGACUCCUACGGGAGGCAGCAGUGGGGAAUAUUGCGCAAUGGGCGAAAGCCUGACGCAGCGACGCCGCGUGAGGGGAAUGAAGGUUUUCGGAUCGUAAACCUCUGUCAGAAGGGAAGAAACUACGUUGUGCUAAUCAGCAGCGUACUGACGGUACCUUCAAAGGAAGCACCGGCUAACUCCGUGCCAGCCGCCGC